GAUGAACGCUGGCGGCGUGCCUAAUACAUGCAAGUCGUACGGAAAGGCCCUUCGGGGUACUCGAGUGGCGGACGGCUGAGUAACGCGUGGGAACGUGCCCCAAAGUGAGGGAUAACGCACCGAAAGGUGUGCUAAUACAGCAUAUGGUCUUCGGAUUAAAGCUUCGGCGCUUUGGGAGCGGCCCGCGUACGAUUAGAUAGUUGGUGAGGUAAUGGCUCACCAAGUCGACGAGCGUUAGCUGGUCUGAGAGGAUGAUCAGCCAGACUGGGACUGAGACACGGCCCAGACUCCUACGGGAGGCAGCAGUAAGGAAUCUUCCACGAUGGGGGCAACCCUGAUGGAGCAACGCCGCGUGCAGGAUGAAGGUUUUCGGAUCGUAAACUGCUUUUAUAAGUGAAGAAUAUGACGGUAACUUAUGAAUAAGGAUCGGCUAACUACGUGCCAGCCGCCGCAGUAA
rnacentral:rRNA from 1 species